rnacentral:rRNA from 1 species
UGGGGAAUAUUGGACAAUGGGCGGAAGCCUGAUCCAGCAACGCCGCGUGAGGGAUGACGGCCUUCGGGUUGUAAACCUCUUUCAGUACCGACGAAGCGGAAGUGACGGUAGGUACAGAAGAAGGACCGGCCAACUACGUGCCAGCAGCCGCGGUAAUACGUAGGGUCCGAGCGUUGUCCGGAAUUAUUGGGCGUAAAGGGCUCGUAGGCGGUUUGUCGCGUCGGGAGUGAAAACAGCGGGCUUAACUCGUUGCUUGCUUUCGAUACGGGCAGACUAGAGGUAUGCAGGGGAGAAUGGAAUUCCUGGUGUAGCGGUGAAAUGCGCAGAUAUCAGGAGGAACACCGGUGGCGAAGGCGGUUCUCUGGGCAUUACCUGACGCUGAGGAGCGAAAGUGUGGGGAGCGAACAGGAUUAGAUACCCUGGUAGUCCACACCGUAAACGUUGGGCGCUAGGUGUGGGGUCCUUUCCACGGAUUCCGUGCCGUAGCUAACGCAUUAAGCGCCCCGCCUGGGGAGUACGGCCGCAAGGCUAAAACUCAAAUGAAUUGACGGGGUCAUAGCUG